AUUCCAUUCAUGACGGUGUCUUGACUAGAGAAAAUAUAAUUUUUGUGCCUAAAUGUUCCAUGCCUAAUUUGCUUAUGCAUUUUGAUGAUAAAGUGAAAGAUACUACAAAUAUGCAUUACCGCUUGAAAAUUUUGAAUUAUGUGAUGAAUGUGAUUAAGAAUAGGCAUGCUAGCAAUUUGUUGACAAAAGAUAGAUUUUGUGUUCAAG
rnacentral:misc_RNA from 1 species